AGAGCCGCAGCCUCAUUAUCGGUCUCUGUUCCUUGUUGCGGUGAUGGAGGUCUUACAUGUUGUGGUGGAGAGUCAAGAACCAACGUGGUGAAACGUCUUCUAUGGGUUCAGCACAUGGACUGGAGAAUUGUCCAUCAGGUAAUGAGAACUCUGCAUGAAUGCUUGGAUUGGCAAAGCUACUCGUGUAUGUUUAAAAGUACUUUAAUGAACAUUUUAGUAAUUUACAAUUGCACAAAUACUGUAAACCAAUAGUUAUAAUCUUAAAUGUAUGUACAUGUACUGGGUCAAGAAUGUAUGAGCUGUGAUUUUUAAACUACGGUAAUGAAUAAAGAUUAAUUGGAAUUUUUAAAAGAUGUGUG